AUACGGAGGAUCCGAGCGUUAUCCGGAUUUAUUGGGUUUAAAGGGUGCGCAGGCGGCCAUUUAAGUCAGCGGUUAAAUCGUGGGGCUCAACCCCAUUCUGCCGUUGAUACUGGGUGGCUUGAUUGCGGUCGAGGUUGGCGGAAUUCGUUGUGUAGCGGUGAAAUGCAUAGAUAUGACGAAGAACACCGAUUGCGUAGGCAGCUGACCAGACCGCAAAUGACGCUCAUGCACGAAAGUGCGGGGAUCGAACAGGAUUAGAUACCCUGGUAGUCCGCACAGUAAACGAUGAAUACUUGUUUUCGGCGAUAUACAGUAAGCGGCCAAGCGAAAGCAUUAAGUAUUCCACCUGGGGAGUACGCCGGCAACGGUGAAACUCAAAUGAAUUGGCGGGG
rnacentral:rRNA from 1 species